CCUCCUGUCUCCCAGGAGGGACCAGCCUUCCUGAGAAGGCCACUCUCUGACCACAUCUGAUGCACAGAACCACUCAGAAGGCUCUUUUCCCUGACUGGAUAAAGAAGAGAGAACGAAGACCCCCAGCUACCUCCUCAAGGCGAGUUCUGUGCCGUGUACUUCCGGAGACAAUUGUCGUCUCCUGAUUCACACAAACCAUAUGAACUGGAAAAUUCCUUAAGAACUGGAUCAUCACGGUUUCCGUUUUGGGCACGCACGGUGUGGACAUCUGGGAUGUUUCGCCCUUUGAGGGUUACAGAAGAGAUGGCAGGGAACCUUGCCUAGGGAAUCAAGGAGAUGGCUU